ACGCUCGACACCUACGGGGGGCAGCAGUGGGGAAUAUUGCACAAUGGGGGAAACCCUGAUGCAGCGACGCCGCGUGGAGGAAGAAGGUCUUCGGAUUGUAAACUCCUGUUGUUGGGGAAAAAGAGGAUGGUACCCAACAAGGAAGUGACGGCUAACUACGUGCCAGCAGCUGCGGUAAUCUGAGCGGGCUGGCAAGGC
rnacentral:rRNA from 1 species